rnacentral:pre_miRNA from 1 species
AGUAACAUAGCUGGGUCAAAUGGGGGUGCCAGUCCAAGAUUUCUAAGGAAUCUCCAUACAGCUUUUCAGAGUGGUUGCACCAAUUUGCAGUCCCAUCAGCAAU